GUAGGUGAACCUGCGGAAGGAUCAUUAUCGAGUUAGGGUACCCUUCUAGGGCCCGACCUCCAACCCGGUGUCUAAACUUACCACUGUUGCUUCGGCGGGCCCGCCUGUAAAAGGGCCGCCGGGGGCCUCUGAGCCCCUGGUCCGUGCCCGUCGAUAGCCCACAAAAAUUCUUGAUCAACCGUGUCUAGUCUGAAUACAAAUAAAAAUAAAGCAAAAAACUUUCAACAACGGAUCUCUUGGUUCUG
rnacentral:misc_RNA from 1 species